AUUGAACGCUGGCGGCAGGCUUAACACAUGCAAGUCGAGCGGAGAUGAGGUGCUUGCACCUUAUCUUAGCGGCGGACGGGUGAGUAAUGCUUAGGAAUCUGCCUAUUAGUGGGGGACAACAUUCCGAAAGGAAUGCUAAUACCGCAUACGUCCUACGGGAGAAAGCAGGGGAUCUUCGGACCUUGCGCUAAUAGAUGAGCCUAAGUCGGAUUAGCUAGUUGGUGGGGUAAAGGCCUACCAAGGCGACGAUCUGUAGCGGGUCUGAGAGGAUGAUCCGCCACACUGGGGCUGAUACACGGCCCAGACUCCUACGGGAGGCAGCAGUGGGGAAUAUUGGACAAUGGGGGGAACCCUGAUCCAGCCAUGCCGCGUGUGUGAAGAAGGCCUUAUGGUUGUAAAGCACUUUAAGCGAAGAGGAGGCUACUGAGACUAAUACUCUUGGAUAGUGGACGUUACUCGCAGAAUAAGCACCGGCUAACUCUGUGCCAGCAGCCGCCGCAGUAA
rnacentral:rRNA from 1 species